CAUAGAACCAAAAGUCAAACACGACACACACACACACCUAUUUCGUCCACAUGUAUUAAUACAACUGCCUUCUUACAAGCUGUACAUGUGUCAUUAAAAAUCACUACUCCUGUUGUAACAUUAUGUAAUACAACAAACAAAGGCAGAAAAGGGAAUGGUAUGACACACUGUUAGGAGGUGCUGGAACCACUAUGGGUAUACUAAAUAGUUAUAGAUAUGGAGACCCUCAAGAAUAAGUUAAACACAGCCAGCAUGCAUAUAGGGACUGGUUUCCAUGCUACUGCAAACUGGGCUCCAAUUGUUGUUAAAUCACAGGUUAUAGGAUUGGAUUUAGAUAAAUCAAUGUAUAAUUAUUUAGAUAAUUUAACUGUUGCAACUAUGAAAUUCACUACAGGUCUAAGUAACUGGAGUACUUGUGCCAUCAGGUAUUUAUGGAUACAACAACAAGGAUUGGCAUUAGAAAACACACUAAUGAUUCCCAAACUAGAGAAGAUUAGAGGAAAGCGUAACCUCACAGAUAAUGAAUGGUUACUUCUAAAACCCCAAUCCAGUAAAUGCAAUGGAUGGUUAACUGGUAAUGUUUCACAUUUUUCAUGCUCAUGCUAUUUUACAUUAUAUCAUACAACAUCAAAGGAUGUUAAAUUAGCUUGUCAAUUUAACACAUUACCAGUACCAGUUUAUGAUCUUUUUGCCAAGAAUUUAACCUGGUGGGCACCCACAUACACAGGGGACUAUAUUUUUCCCAAAGAUAACACACACAGGUAGCCACACAUAUCCUAAAAGGAGAACUCCUUAAGGUGAGUUCACAAAUUCAGAAUGAUUUAGCCCAUCAUUGGUACGAUGCUUCACUGGUUGGUCCCCUACUGGAUCCCAGAUAAUGAAAUCAUUCUUCUAUCCUUUUGUCAUUAUAGUCCUGAUUUUAUUGUGUAUGAUUUUAUAUAACUGUCACCUUAGUUGUACAUUGAGGAAGUGAGUACAGAAAUUAAUCCAUAAUGCAGAACAGAAACAAUUAAAAAUUCUCCUCUCUGCCACUGUAGAGUAUCAACCCAUCUUUAAACUGGGCCUUAGGAAUUACCACAUGGGAAUCGAGGUGAAGAAAUUAAUGAAAGUCCCGCAGGGAGUGACUAGCACCCCUGAAAAUACCAUGUGGAAGUUUCUCUGUCCUGGUAAGAUUUUAUCGAUAAGAUGAGCAAUUGUUUUAUUGCUCAAAGAGGGGAAUGUAAGAAUAUUAAAUAGUUAACUUGUUUAUAUGUAUUUUAUGCUUUUAUAAGGUUUAUAACAUGAUUAUUGCUGACUGAAG